CCAGACAGUCGCCGCUUCGUCGUCGUCCCUUUCGGGGGAGACGGGCGGAGGGGAGGAAAGUCCGGGCUCCACAGGGCAGGGUGCCAGGUAACGCCUGGGGGGGAAACCCACGACCAGUGCAACAGAGAGCAAACCGCCGAUGGCCCGCGCAAGCGGGAUCAGGUAAGGGUGAAAGGGUGCGGUAAGAGCGCACCGCGCGGCUGGUAACAGUCCGUGGCACGGUAAACUCCACCCGGAGCAAGGCCAAAUAGGGGUUCACAUGGUACGGCCCGUACUGAACCCGGGUAGGCUGCUUGAGCCAGUGAGCGAUUCAGGCCGGGUAAGCGAAGCGCCAAACGACAUUAAUUCUCAAUUUUGCGAUACUAAGCACAUUUCACUAUUUGCCUGACUGU
rnacentral:RNase_P_RNA from 1 species